rnacentral:misc_RNA from 1 species
CCAAACUUGGUCAUUUAGAGGAAGUAAAAGUCGUAACAAGGUUUCCGUAGGUGAACCUGCGGAAGGAUCAUUACAGAGAUCAUACCCUCACGGGUAGACCUCCCUUCCUUGUUUAUAUAUACUUUGUUGCUUUGGCGAAGUGCUUGACUUCGGUUGAGCCUCAGCUCUUGUAGUUGAGAGUCCUUCGCCAGAGGAUACCCAAAUUCUGUUUAUUAGUGUCGUCUGAGUACUAUAUAAUAGUUAAAACUUUCAACAACGGAUCUCUUGGUUCUGGCAUCGAUGAAGAACGCAGC